rnacentral:rRNA from 1 species
GGAAAGGAUAAGCGCUGAAAGCAUCUAAGCGCCAAGCCCCCCUCAAGAUUAUGUAUCCCGUACCAAAUGGUACCUAAAGGCACCUCGUAGACUACGAGGUUGAUAGGCCGGAGGUGUAAGACCCGUAAGGGUUUCAGCUGACCGGUACUAAUCUGCCGUGAGACUUGACCAC